UACGUAGGGAGCAAGCGUUGUCCGGAAUCAUUGGGCGUAAAGCGCGCGUAGGUGGCUUCGUAAGUCCGUUGUGAAAGUCAAAGGCUCAACCUUUGAAAGCCGAUGGAUACUGCGGAGCUAGAGUACGGAAGAGGCGAGUGGAAUUCCUGGUGUAGCGGUGAAAUGCGCAGAUAUCAGGAAGAACACCCGUGGCUAAGGCGGCUCUCUAGUACGGUACUGACGCUGAGACGCGAAGGCGUGGGGAGCGAACAGG
rnacentral:rRNA from 1 species